rnacentral:rRNA from 1 species
GAUGAACGCUGGCGGCGUGCUUAACACAUGCAAGUCGAACGGAAAGGCCGAAGCUUGCUUCGGUACUCGAGUGGCGAACGGGUGAGUAACACGUGGGUGAUCUGCCCUGUACUUCGGGAUAAGCUUGGGAAACUGGGUCUAAUACCGGAUAUGACAAUCUCUUGGGUGGUGUUGUGGAAAUCUUUUGCGGUAUGGGGUGAGCUGGGGGCCUAUCAGCUUGUUGGUGGGGUAAUGGCCUACCAAGGCGUCGACGGGUAGCCGGCCUGGGAGGUGUACGGCCACAUUGGGACUGAGAUACGGCCCAGACUCCUACGGGAGGCAGCAGUGGGGAAUAUUGCACAAUGGGCGCAAGCCUGAUGCAGCGACGCCGCGUGGGGGAUGACGGCCUUCGGGUUGUAAACUCCUUUCGCAACCGACGAAGCUUUUGUGACGGUAGGUUGAGAAGAAGCACCGGCUAACUACGUG